UACGUAGGGUGCAAGCGUUAAUCGGAAUUACUGGGCGUAAAGCGUGCGCAGGCGGUUGUGCAAGACAGAUGUGAAAUCCCCGGGCUUAACCUGGGAAUGGCAUUUGUGACUGCACGGCUAGAGUGUGUCAGAGGGGGGUAGAAUUCCACGUGUAGCAGUGAAAUGCGUAGAUAUGUGGAGGAAUACCGAUGGCGAAGGCAGCCCCCUGGGCCUGUACUGACGCUCAUGCACGAAAGCGUGGGGAGCAAACAGG
rnacentral:rRNA from 1 species